UUUAUAUUUAUAGGUGGAAGAGAUGUCUAAUGGUCCAUAGAUAGAUAAUGUGGGACUAAACAUAUACGUAGUGUGGAGAAAAUAGAAAGAAGAGGGACAAAGGUGUGCCGCAUGGGCCAAUAGUUCGGCCAGCCGUAGCGAGCGGUCCGGCAAGCCGUGGCCUUUGUUUUUUUUUUUUUUUUUUUUUUUUUUUUUUUUUUUUUUUUUUUUUUUUUUUUUUUUUUUUUUAU
rnacentral:lncRNA from 1 species